rnacentral:rRNA from 1 species
CUACCAUGGCAGUCACGGGUAACGGAGAAUUAGGGUUCGAUUCCGGAGAGGGAGCCUGAGAAACGGCUACCACAUCUACGGAAGGCAGCAGGAGCGAAAAUUGCCCAAUCCUGACGCGGGGAGGCAGUGACAAGAAAUAACAACUCUAGGUUAUUCUUAGAAGUGUAAUGAGGAUAAUUUACAACCCUUACCGAAAGCAAUUGGAGGGCAAGUCUGGUGCCAGCAGCCGCGGUAAUUCCAGCUCCAAUAGCGUAUAUUAAAGUUGUUGCAGUUAAAAAGCUCGUAGUUGAAGUUCUGGCUGCUCGGUCCUCGAGCUCUGUAGCCGAGGAAUCGACAGUCAUCCGCUUGCAAAUAUAGUUCGCCUUUAACCGGGUGGCUAUAUGAGUAAGCAUUUUACCUUGAGAAAAACAGAGUGUUCCAGGCAGGUUUGUCCGGAAUGCAUUAGCAUGGAAUAAUAGAAUAUGACUGAAGUCUAUUUAUUGGUUUAAGGCUUUAGUAAUGAUUAAUAGGAACAGUCGGGGGCAUUGGUACUUGUCAGUCAGAGGUGAAAUUCUAGGAUUUGACAAAGACUAACAAAUGCGAAAGCAUUUGCCAAGGAUGUUUUCAUUAAUCAAGAACGAAAGUUAGGGGAUC